rnacentral:lncRNA from 1 species
AGUUCCAAUCCCCAUGGUCAUAAGUCAAGAAGUAUCUGCAGGGGGAUUAAUCAGGAUAGGUAGAGACCCAAACCAACUUCAUUCUGUCAGCUGGUACAGGAAAUCAUUGUUUAUGUGCUGUGGAUAAGACAGAAGUCAGAAUACAAGGUUGUAUAGAGCCAGAAAACCAGACAAGAGACAAGGGCAGCUCUGGACGAAAAUCUAAAAAUGAACAUUGUCUUCUCUACAAUCCUUUAAUUUUCAGAUUUACCUGCAUUGCCAAGUUCUCGUCUGGGAACCAGCAAUUGUGACUAAUCCCACAAGGAAAGCCUGCUCAUUUAACAGGGGUACAAACAGAUGGGAAGUUCUGGAUGGGACAGCCGAUGAGGUUUGCAGGUGCUGUGACUUGGUGUGUGAAACUGCUGGUUCUCGUCACAAGAGAGAAGUAAAAGAUCUGGCUUCAGAAGUCGAUCCCUUGCAAUCCAACUGGUUGGUGGUUGGCCGCUUGACGAUUCGGCAAUCUGCACCCAGCGGGGGUGACUCUGAGCGGGGUUCCAAUCACAUCCCCCCUCAUUGAGACCCGUCAAAGCAAGGUAAGUCAAGAGCUAUCAAUUUAGCAGUCAGUUCUUUCUGCUAAUAGGGCAGAAUAAAGGAGCUAUUUCUGCAUUUUAACUGUCUCUAUUCUGUUCUUGGGGUGUCCGUAGGGUAUGAUUAAAAAUAAAUAAAUCAGAUUGCUAGCCAAAAUAAGUAAAGUCAAAAAUCUGCCUGCGUUACUAACAGGUAAUCAGAGUUGGAAGAGAUUUUGUAGGUCAUCUAGUCCAACCCCCCGCCCAAACGGGAGACCCUACACCAUUUCUGACAAAUGGCAGUCCAAUCUCUUCUUGCAAGUCUCAAGUGACGAAGCUCCCACAACUUCCAAAGGC